rnacentral:rRNA from 1 species
UACGUAGGGGGCGAGCGUUGUCCGGAUUUACUGGGCGUAAAGAGCGCGUAGGCGGCUCGUUAAGUUGGCUGUAAAAGGCCCUGGCUUAACUGGGGUAAGUCGGCCAAAACUGGCGGGCUGGAGGACGGUAGAGGAAGGUGGAAUUCCUGGUGUAGUGGUGAAAUGCGUAGAGAUCAGGAGGAACACCGGUGGCGAAGGCGGCCUUCUGGGCCGUUCCUGACGCUGAGGCGCGAAAGCGUGGGGAG